GAUGAACGCUAGCGGCAGGCUUAAUACAUGCAAGUCGAGGGGCAGCAUAAGUAGCAAUACUUGAUGGCGACCGGCAAACGGGUGCGGAACACGUACGCAACCUUCCUUUAAGUGGGGAAUAGGCCCGGGGAAACCCGGAUUAAUACCCCGUAAUAUUAUGAUGUGGCAUCACUUUAUAAUUAUGAUUCAUCGCUUAAAGAUGGGCGUGCG
rnacentral:rRNA from 1 species